rnacentral:rRNA from 1 species
AUGGCGAGGCCGCACGCCGUCGUUGUGCCGUUCCCGGGCUCCGGUAACAUCAACCCGGCACUGCAGCUGGCCAAGCUGCUGCACCGCCACGGCGUCUACAUCACCUUUGUCAACACCGAGCACAACCACCGCGUCAUGGAGACGGCGGAGGGCGCCGCUGCCGUGCGUGGCAGCGAGGGGUUCCAGCUCGAGACGAUCCCGGACGGGCUUGUGGAGGCUGACCGGGACGCCGGGGACUACGACCUCGGCCUGUCUGCCGCCACGAGCCACAGGUGCGCGGGGCCGCUGAGGGAGCUCAUCCUGCGUGUCAAUGGCAGGGCGGGCGUGCCACCGGUGACGUGCGUGGUGCCAACGGCGCUGAUGAGCUUCGCGCUGGACGUGGCGGAGCUGGGUGUGCCGAGCAUGGUGCUCUGGGGUGGUAGCGCCGCAUCGCUGAUGGGCCACAUGCGGCUCCGGGAGCUAAAGGAAAGAGGCUAUGUGCCACUCAAAGACGAGACCUGCUACACGAACGGACACCUGAGUAGGACGCUCAUCGACUGGAUCCCGGGCAUGCCGCCGAUCAGCCUCGGAGACAUCUCCAGUUUCGUCCGCACCACCGACCCGGACGACUUCGGCCUCCAUUUCAACAUCGUGGAGGCCAACGGCUGCACCAAGGCCGGCGCGCUCAUCAUCAACACCUUCGACGCCCUAGAAGCCGACGUCCUCGCCGCCCUCCGCGCCGAGUACCCGCGCAUCUACACCGUCGGUCCCCUAGGCUCCCUCCUCAACCACCAGCUAAGGGGCGACGACGAUGCCUCCGCCAGCGGCCUGAGCCUGUGGAAGCAGGACACCGAGUGCCUCGCGUGGCUGGACACGCAGCAGCCGGGCUCCGUCGUGUACGCCAACUUCGGCAGCCUUACGGUCCUCUCCACCGACCAGGUCGCCGAGUUCGCGUGGGGCCUCGUGGCCAGCGGCCACCCGUUCCUCUGGUCCAUCAGGGACAACCUCGUCCCCGGCCGGCGCUGGCGUAGCUCUCUGCCGGCGGAGUUCAUCGCCGCGACGGCAGGGCGGUGCUGCCUGACCACCUGGUGCCCGCAGGAUCGGGUUCUUGGGCACCGGCCCGUGGGGUGCUUCCUGACGCACAACGGGUGGAACUCCACCCGCGAGAGCGUGGCGGCCGGCGUGCCGAUGGUGUGCUGGCCGGGGUUCGCGGACCAGUACACCAACUGCAAGUACGCCUGCGAUGUGUGGGGCGUGGGCCUCCGGGUUGACGAGGAGGUGAGGAGGGAGCAGGUGGCCAGCCACAUCAGGCAUGCGAUGAAGGCAGAGGAGAUGAGGGGGAGCGCGGCUGAGUGGAAGGCCAAGGCGGAGGAGGCCGUGGCGCCCGGCGGGUUGUCGUGCGAGAACCUGCAGAGCAUGGUCAGAGCGCUCGGCUGUGUCAAAGCUGCUGAAGUCCGAGGAGUUUAA